UACGUAGGGUGCGAGCGUUAAUCGGAAUUACUGGGCGUAAAGCGUGCGCAGGCGGUGAUGUAAGACAGGUGUGAAAUCCCCGGGCUUAACCUGGGAACUGCAUUUGUGACUGCAUCGCUGGAGUGCGGCAGAGGGGGAUGGAAUUCCGCGUGUAGCAGUGAAAUGCGUAGAUAUGCGGAGGAACACCAGUGGCGAAGGCGGCAUCCUGGCCCUGUCCUGACGCUCAGGGGCGAAAGCGUGGGGAGCAAACCGG
rnacentral:rRNA from 1 species